AGUGAACGCUGGCGGUAGGCCUAACACAUGCAAGUCGAACGGCAGCACAGUAAGAGCUUGCUCUUACGGGUGGCGAGUGGCGGACGGGUGAGGAAUACAUCGGAAUCUACUUUUUCGUGGGGGAUAACGUAGAGAAACUUACGCUAAUACCGCAUACGACCUACGGGUGAAAGCAGUGGAUCUUCGGACCUUGCGCGAUUGAAUGAGCCGAUGUCGGAUUAGCUAGUUGGCGGGGUAAAGGCCCACCAAGGCGACGAUCCGUAGCUGGUCUGAGAGGAUGGUCAGCCACACUGGAACUGAGACACGGUCCAGACUCCUACGGGAGGCAGCAGUGGGGAAUAUUGGGCAAUGGGCGCAAGCCUGAUCCAGCCAUACCGCGUGGGUGAAGAAGGCCUUCGGGUUGUAAAGCCCUUUUGUUGGGAAAGAAAAGCAGCAGGUUAAUACCCCGCUGUUCUGACGGUACCCAAAGAAUAAGCACCGGCUAACUUCGUG
rnacentral:rRNA from 1 species